CUUUUCCAAACCAGACUUACCUGAGCGUCCACCUGCUUCCCCACUCUCUCAGAUACUAAUUGUGUGGGGAGGUAAACACAGCAGUCAAGUGGAGAGGACGGCGAGUCAAGCGUGAAUAUCAAUCUUCCCACAUCAGUGUCAUCAGAUGACUUUGACGGAGUUGAGGCAGGGCUCAUUAGGGCGCCACGGGCUGCAAUAACAUCCAGGUGGAGGGCUCUGAUGUUCGCCAGGUAACAGCAAAGGAAAAAGUGACGCACAGAGAGCGGAAGAAAAGGUCAAAACUGCCUGAACUGAGUGGCCAGCAGAAGGCUUCUACCUGCUUCCUACAUCUGCUGCCUUGGCUUACCUGUAUCUCCAGCUUCAUCAACCUCCUGAUGAAACCCAUACUGGCCCUUCUGCUGAUAAGGCUCUGCUCGGCUGCUCCCGCGGCUGCCACACAUCACUUCAGGAAUCUGAUGAACUGUACCAACCUCAGAUUAACCUCCAGCCCUGUCUUUCUUUUUCUGCAAUCCCAGACCAUCACUGGAGCAUGUGAGCAAGAAGAUUAGUAAAGAUGUGAUGU
ensembl:lncRNA